CAAGAAAUGUAGAGGGAGAAGAGUGCUGGAAGAUGAGUCAAGAAAAGUCCACUGUGUGUUGGGAAUAGAUUAUGAAGGGCUUUGAGUGUAGGCCCUGUAAGCAAUAGGAAGCCAUGGAACAGCCAGAAAGCUUCCUGUCUGUCAGAUUUCCCCAUUCAUCAGGCCACAGACAUUCUUGGGAUGUAGCUAGGGAAGAAGUCCAGCUGUAGAUACUUUUGAGUUUAGUAGGAUAAUUUUUAUGGUUCCCAAUCCCUUUUGUGGAAAGUUGUUGCUAGCUUUAUGCUGUAGGAACGGCUUUUCUGAAUAUUCUUUUGCUCACCAUCCCAGUUCACUCAACAUCUUGAUGCAGAUAUACAAGGUUAUGCAGAUGUAUCUUCCAUUUUGUGGAAUCGCCAUAUCUAACGCUCAGCUCUUUGCUGCCUCAAGGAAAGAAUAUGAAAGAAGCAGAAGUUAUGUAAGGGAUGUGUAUUAGUGAAAAUGUCUCAAGUUUGACCAAGAACCUGUUUCUUCCUGAUAGUGAGGAAAAGCUGCUUUGCUUUGCUAGAGGUGGUUAAUGACCUCUUUGAAGAACAGACUGACCUGGAGAAAAUUGUCAAGAAAAUAAUGCAUCGGGCCCAAA
rnacentral:lncRNA from 10 species